rnacentral:rRNA from 1 species
GCGCAGCAGUCGAGAAAACUUCACAAUGUGCGAAAGCACGAUGAGGGAAUCCCAAGUGCUUGCUCGUAAGAGUAAGCUGUUUCUCUGUCUAAAACGCAGAGAGAGUAAGGGCUGGGUAAGACGGGUGCCAGCCGCCGCGGUAAUACCUGCAGCUCGAGUGGUGGCCGCUAUUAUUGGGCCUAAAACGUCCGUAGCCGGUUUAUUAAAUGCCUGGGUAAAUCGGACCGCUUAACGGUUCGAAUUCCGGGUAGACUGAUAAACUUGAGACCGGGAGAAGCUAGAGGUACUCCUGGGGUAGAGGUGAAAUUCUGUAAUCCUAGGGGGACCACCAGUGGCGAAGGCGUCUAGCUAGAACGGGUCUGACGGUGAGGGACGAAGCCCUGGGGCGCAAACGGGGAUUAAUACCCCCGUAGU